UACGGAGGGGGCUAGCGUUGUUCGGAAUUACUGGGCGUAAAGCGCACGUAGGCGGCUUUGUAAGUUAGAGGUGAAAUCCCGGGGCUCAACCCCGGAAUUGCCUUUAAGACUGCAUCGCUUGAACACGGGAGAGGUGAGUGGAAUUCCGAGUGUAGAGGUGAAAUUCGUAGAUAUUCGGAAGAACACCAGUGGCGAAGGCGGCUCACUGGACCGUUGUUGACGCUGAGGUGCGAAAGCGUGGGGAGCAAACAGG
rnacentral:rRNA from 1 species